GGCUCAGGACGAACGCUGGCGGCGUGCCUAACACAUGCAAGUCGAGCGGAGAAAGUUCUUCGGAACUUUCUCAGCGGCGGACGGGUGAGUAACACGUGGGUAACCUGCCUUAUAGAGGGGGAUAGCCUUCCGAAAGGAAGAUUAAUACCGCAUAACAUUUUCGUUUCGCAUGAAAUGAAAAUCAAAGGAGCAAUCCGCUAUAAGAUGGACCCGCGGCGCAUUAGCUAGUUGGUGAGGUAAUGGCUCACCAAGGCGACGAUGCGUAGCCGACCUGAGAGGGUGAUCGGCCACAUUGGAACUGAGAUACGGUCCUGACUCCUACGGGAGGCAGCAGUGGGGAAUAUUGCACAAUGGGGGAAACCCUGAUGCAGCAACGCCGCGUGAGUGAUGAAGGCCUUCGGGUUGUAAAGCUCUGUCUUUGGGACGAUAAUGACGGUACCCAAGGAGGAAGCCACGGCUAACUACGUGUCAGCAG
rnacentral:rRNA from 1 species